UACGUAGGGCGCAAGCGUUAUCCGGAAUUACUGGGCGUAAAGCGUGCGUAGGCGGUUCGUUAAGUCUGUUGUGAAAGCCCCGGGCUCAACCUGGGAAUGGCAUUGGAAACUGGCGACCUAGAGUGCGGUAGAGGGUAGUGGAAUUCCCGGUGUAGCAGUGAAAUGCGUAGAGAUCGGGAGGAACAUCCGUGGCGAAGGCGACUACCUGGACCAGCACUGACACUGAGGCACGAAAGCGUGGGGAGCAAACAGGG
rnacentral:rRNA from 1 species